UACGAAGGGUGCUAGCGUUGUUCGGAAUUACUGGGCGUAAAGAGUGCGUAGGCGGUGUUCCAAGUCUGGUGUGAAAUCUCCCGGCUUAACUGGGAGGGUGCAUUAGAAACUGGAAUGCUAGAGGAUGGGAGAGGUAAGCGGAAUUCCUGGUGUAGCGGUGAAAUGCGUAGAUAUCAGGAGGAACACCUGUGGUGUAGACAGCUUACUGGACCAUUUCUGACGCUGAGACACGAAAGCGUGGGUAGCAAACAGG
rnacentral:rRNA from 1 species